CCCUUAGACGUUCUGGGCCGCACGCGCGCUACACUGACAAAGGCAACGAGCUACUCUUCACCGAAAGGUGUGGGUAAUCUUUUGAAACUUUGUCGUGCUGGGGAUAGAUCCUUGCAAUUUUUGAUCUUAAACGAGGAAUUCCUAGUAAGCGCAAGUCAUCAACUUGCGUUGAUUACGUCCCUGCCCUUUGUACACACCGCCCGUCGCUACUACCGAUUGAAUGGUUUAGUGAGGCCUUCGGAUCCGCGACUCGUUUGUGGAGAAGUCGGACAAACUCAGUCAUUUAGAGGAAGUAAAAGUCGUAACA
rnacentral:rRNA from 1 species